CCGAACCGACUAAUGUUGAAAAAUUAGCGGAUGACCUGUGGCUGGGGGUGAAAGGCCAAUCAAACCGGGAGAUAGCUGGUUCUCCCCGAAAGCUAUUUAGGUAGCGCCUCGUGAAUUCAUCUCCGGGGGUAGAGCACUGUUUCGGCUAGGGGGCCAUCCCGGCUUACCAACCCGAUGCAAACUGCGAAUACCGGAGAAUGUUAUCACGGGAGACACACGGCGGGUGCUAACGUCCGUCGUGAAGAGGGAAACAACCCAGACCGCCAGCUAAGGUCCCAAAGUCAUGGUUAAGUGGGAAACGAUGUGGGAAGGCCCAGACAGCCAGGAUGUUGGCUUAGAAGCAGCCAUCAUUUAAAGAAAGCGUAAUAGCUCACUGGUCGAGUCGGCCUGCGCGGAAGAUGUAACGGGGCUAAACCAUGCACCGAAGCUGCGGCAGCGACACUGUGUGU
rnacentral:rRNA from 3 species